UAUAACGGAUUUUAAGUUUUUACUUGCAACGUUUGACUACUCGUCUUAUUCAAUUUUUUUUGAAAUUAUUAUUUAUUUUAUUUUGUAACUUACUUUAUUAUCUAUGGUACUUUAAGCACAACUUUUCGUUUUUUAUAUUUGCAAAAAAAAUUCAAAUAAGACGAGUGGUCAAACGUUGCAAUCAAAAACUCAAAAUCCCUUAUA
rnacentral:pre_miRNA from 1 species